rnacentral:rRNA from 1 species
GUGGAUUAGAUACCCUGGUAGUCCACGCCGUGAACGGUGGGCGCUAGGUGUGGGGAACAUUCCACGUUCUCCGUGCCGCAGCUAACGCAUUAAGCGCCCCGCCUGGGGAGUACGGCCGCAAGGCUAAAACUCAAAGGAAUUGACGGGGGCCCGCACAAGCGGCGGAGCAUGCGGCUUAAUUCGAUGCAACGCGAAGAACCUUACCUGGGUUUGACAUAUGGGGAAAACUGGCAGAGAUGUCAGGUCCGCAAGGGCCCCAUACAGGUGGUGCACGGCUGUCGACAACU